CCCAGCAGGGUGUGAGAGCAAAGAGGGAUCAGGCAAGAUGCCACCAGGCAGGCUGGCUGGCCUUACUGCCACCAUGUUCCACCGCUUGCAACACAACUACCCUCCCCAAGGCACACAGCUUUGAUCUGAUCAGUUUUCUAGGCUGCAGCAAUCAAACAGUGGAAUCCACAGGAAAUUAAGCUUAUUGACUGAGCCUUUGGAUAGCACAUGGAGAAGAUAUUUACACGUGUCAUCUGGGCCCGGGGCCGGAGGUUAUUGGCAGCGGGUAUUUACAGAGUUUCAAAUGACAGCUGGGGGCGGAAGCGUGGGGGACCAGCCACCCUGCCUCCCUACUCUGUGCAGAUUUCUGAGUCGGGGUCCCUUCUUCUGAGGCCCUGGUCUACCCCCAUUUGGCUGCCUUGGAUAGUGGAAGGAUUUGGGGUGAACCCAAUUGUCUGCAGCAUGUGGGAUCUGAAAAACUGACUUUUAAACCCCAAGCGGGCUUAAUGGGGCUCUCUUCAUUGACAAGGAGGAACUGCGAGCGAUGCCAUUUCUGGGUGUUUGCCUCGUGCCAUCUCUUCACGGUUCUUUGAACUAGAACUUCUCCUUGCGUCCUUUAUGACGGAGAGGGGAAAGGCAACCUUUGAGAUCCAUGACUGCUACCCCAGGGGCCUGGGGAAGGCGUGCCCAAAGAAAAAGGAACCGUAAGUAAAUAGCGACAUCAACAGCUGAUAUUUAUGGAACCCAGCGCACGUGCCAGGCGCUGAGAGGAUAUUUACAUGCAGGAUCUCAUUAAUCUCACGUGUUCUUUUGUAAUUAGAAUGAAAUCCAAGCUCCAGAUUGUGGCCUGUGAGGCCUUAUGGGAUCCAGCGCCUGCCCACCUCUAUAAACUCCUCUCUCCUCUCCUCACUCAUCCCCAGUUUCAACCAGCAGGCCAAGCUCAUUCCUGCCUCAGGACAUUUGCACAUGCCACUCCUCUGUAUGGAGUACUCUUCCCUACAUCCUUGAAUUCCAUCUGUCUGGCUUAUUCUCAUCAUUCAAAGCUAAAAGCUGGGCUCAAAUAUCACCUACCCCACACCAGCCAUUACCCAUCUCAUCACUCAGUUUAAUCUUUUUCAUAGCUCCUUUCCACGUCCUUGAAGUUUUCUCACUCACGUCUGUGCUGAGGUGUUUAUAGUCUGUUUCAUCUCGCUGGGCUCCAUGAAGUCAGGGAGCUUGGAUUCCUAGUAUGGCUGACGCCUGGAGCGAUGCUGGCACAUAGCAGAGCCUGAAUCAAUACUCGAGGAAGGAAGGAAAGGGGACCCGGGAGCUGGCACCUGGGUUUAGUUGAUCUUACUCUAAAGCCUGGGUUCCUAACCACUUGGCUACACUGCCCGAGCACAGGACACCCUGCUGAGUCGGCUUGACUUCCAAGGACAACACCAGCCCCCGGCGUUUGUGGGGAGGGGGAGAUUUCCCCACAAGGCUGAGACUUUAUUUUGUCCUAUAAACCACUUGGCUCCUCCAGCAAGGGCAGGGUGGGGGCCCGGCUUGGUUCUCACAUCUGGCCGCAGGUCUGCUCCCUGCACGCUAGGAUCAGGUUGGCGCCUCCACAAAACGCGACGUCGUGCCGUGCGGGCGCCAAUGAUGCAGACCCCCGGCGCGCUGCACUGGGAACCCGGCCCCGUGAACUCGUUAACGAUUCUACGAAUGUGUGUGAUGAACUUCCAGGCGCUCUGGACAACGCAGAGGCAAAGCAGAAAGGCGCGGCGGAAGAAAGAGUCGGCUGUUGUCAGGAGGUCUGCUUACACCCUUGCUGGGGAGCUCCCACUUUCCAGGCCUCGGUUUUCACAGCCGGCACUUCACAGGCAGCUGAGAAACGGCCGGGAAAGGUCUAUGAAAUGCCUACUACGUUCAAGACCCCACAUCCGAACACAGAGGCCGAUCAAUGAGCAGAGGAUGAAAUGGGGGCCAUGCUGGAACAUUCCACGUCAAAGCCACACAGCCUGGAUCUGAAUUCAGGCUCUCACACGAGUGGCGGGACCCUGGGGGAAGGAUACGCUUCCGCCCCGAUUCUGGGCCUUAGUUUCCUCGGCCAUCGAAUGGGACAACGGCUUGUGCCACCCGGCCUCUUCCUUCCUCAAACUUUACGUCCUCAUGCCCUGCCUGUGGGACGUCAGGUCUUCCAUCGCUCCAAGCAUGCUGAGUCGCGGGGAGUUUGCAGGUGCUGUUCCCCCUGCCUGGAACAGUCUUUCUUCCUUCCUUCAGCCACUGGCUGCUUCUCAUCCAUCUCUCAGCCUCUCCCGGCCACCCUGUAUGAAACAGCCCACUCCGCUGGAUUUGAUAGCAGCUCCUUAUUAAUUUUCCUGUUGCCACCAACGUGCAGGUAUAAAUUAAGUGCUGUUUACUGGACUCCUGUCUGUGUCUUCCACAGACGGCGAGACUGUUAGGCUCCUGAGGAAAGGGCCCACGCCUGUUGUGGUCUGCAGUGUUUUUCCAGAACCCAGCACAGCAGGAGCUCAAUAAAGAUUCAAUGAGAGAACGGAGGAAGGCUUGGCCUCUCCUCCAACCUGCAUGCCCUAAGACCUUGCUCCAACCCACUCUGCAGAGCCUCGAACACACCACUCCCAAUGCCCACGUCCACUUCUUCCUCCCGCCCCCUAAGGCAAUGGGGCUUGGGCUCUUGACCACCUGACCUGAGUCGCAUUCCUGGUUCCACCUCUUUUAGCUGUGUGAUCUUGGAAAAGUUUCUUAACCACUCUGUGCCUGAGUUUCCUUACUGUUCAAAUGGGGUUAAUGCUAACAGUACCACGUGGCACAUAAACAUGAGGGCUCCCUGUGCCUACCUCACCUGUCACACAGGUCUGACAGCUGUUCAACGAGACAGCGGUUCCCAACCCUGGCAGCCCAUCAGAAUCACCUGGGGGCUUUCGACGAUCAUGAUGCCCGGGCGGCGUCGAGAGCAACGACAUCAGCGUCUCUGGUGGGGCUUGAGCGUUAGUUCUUUCAUCGUCCUCGGUGCUUCCAACGUGGAGCCGAAAUUGAGAAUGGCUGUAAGCUCCUCCCCCUCGAAGGACCCCCUCCCUCCAGACUUCUCCGCCUGCAUCCUAGCAUCAGGUUGCAGCGUUCCCAGCUGCCAGCCAGUCUUACUUGCUCUGACUUUUCUCUAGAGCGGUGGUUCUCAGCGGGGGGCAAUUUCGCUCCCUAGGGGUCACCUGGCAAUGGCUGGAGACGUUCUGGAUCCUGACCUGGGGGCAGGUGCUACUGGCAUCCAGCAAAUAGAGACCAGAGAUGCUGCUGACCACCCCACAGUGCACAGGGCGGCCCCCGCGGGCGAGAACUACCCUGCCCCAAAGGGCAACAGUGGCGAGGCCGGGAAACCUGCCACAGAGUUCUCCCUUCUGGGAGUGUGGGGACAACGGGCCUGCUGGCAAGAGGAAGAAAGAAGGAAAAGCAAAAGGAACUUACCAUUACUGAGCAUCAGCCCCCAGCCAUGGGCCAGGCAGAUGUUUCUAGAAUAGUGACAAGAG